UCCGGUCAUCCAGAUUAUUCUCGACCUCAGUGCUUCGUAUUCAAUGCAAAGAAAAACUAACAGUACCCUUUUUCUCCAUGAACAAGCUAUUGUUCAACAUAUAUCAGGAGCCACCAUUGGUGGUCUAAGGUGCCUGUAGAUGGUCGUAGAUCUGCUGUUGCUUAAUCAGGUUUAAUGUAAGUUGUAACACCUUCAGAAGCAAAUCUAUGUCGGAACAUCUUGCAAUUUAGCAGCUACGAGGAAAAGCUUCGCUGGAGAAUGCGUGAAUAAAUAGACCAAUUAAUGAAUCUUGGAUUGGCUAUUAAAUAUUAGUUCUAGAGAAAGGAAUGUUACCAGGUCUGUGCGAAGGUAAAUAUUGUUUUACCUUUUCUUGGUUUCUGGGUGUUAGCAAUAUCAAUUUUCCCAUGCUAAGUGGAUGAUAUCAAGGUUAUAAACUCUAAUCAUGGCAUGUUGUGUACUGUAUGAGGGUUGUACUUACUGCAUUGGAUUUAGUGAGGCUGUUUUCUGUUUUUCAAAGAAGAAUUUUUAUCUAUAACAAACUUUUUUAAGCA